ACAGGAUUCCCCUAGUAACGGCGAGUGAAGCGGGAAGAGCUCAAGCUUAAAAUCUCCGUGCAAGUUUUGCAAGGSGAAUUGUAGUCUAUAGAGGCGUGGUCAGCGUGGGCGCUCGGGGCAAGUUCCUUGGAAGAGGACAGCAUGGAGGGUGAUACUCCCGUUCAUCCCUGAGUUGCUCGUGCGUACGACCCGUUUUCUUUGAGUCGCGUUGUUUGGGAAUGCAGCGCAAAGUAGGUGGUAAAUUCCAUCUAAAGCUAAAUAUUGGUGCGAGACCGAUAGCGAACAAGUACCGUGAGGGAAAGAUGAAAAGAACUUUGAAAAGAGAGUUAAAGAGUACCUGAAACUGCUGAAAGGGAACCGAAUCGUUUCCAGUGUCUAUAAUCCGUGGCAUAUUUCAUUGGCGAGUGUGUGCGUGCGUGUGCUGUGGCAGCGGUCUUUAUGGCUGCGCUCGGCGUGUGUGCUGUGUGUGCUUGCUGGUGCCCUGUGCUGCGGUGGGACGUCAAGGUCAGUUCGUAUGCUGCGGGAAAUGGCUGCCGAGGAGGUAGGGCUUACGCUCCGCGUUUGUCUGUUAUAUCUUGGUGGACGAGUCGUCGCGGUUGGGACUGAGGUGCCUACAACGUGCUUUUGAGUGGGUUUGUGUCUCCGUGUGCGCCGUGUGCGGAUAGCUUGCUAUGCGUGUGUGGUUGUGUGUGGAUUGAUGCGGGCCUUAACUUGUUGCCGUUCGGGACGUUGACGAAAUGGAGCGAUCCGACCCGUCUUGAAACACGGACCAAGGAGUCUAACAUGUGUGCAAGUGUUAGGGUGUGGAAACCCCAGCGCGAAAUGAAAGUGAAGGGCAGCGCAAGUUGUCUGAGGUAGGAAACGUUGUGGGCUUCGGUCUGCGGCGUGGCACUAUCGACCGAUCAUGAACCUUCGUGGUGAAAGAUUUGAGUUUGAGCACAUAUGUUGGUACCCGAAAGAUGGUGAACUAUGCCUGAGUAGGGUGAAGCCAGGGAAACUCUG
rnacentral:rRNA from 1 species